AGUGAACGCUGGCGGUAGGCCUAACACAUGCAAGUCGAACGGCAGCACAGUAAGAGCUUGCUCUUACGGGUGGCGAGUGGCGGACGGGUGAGGAAUACAUCGGAAUCUACUUUUUCGUGGGGGAUAACGUAGGGAAACUUACGCUAAUACCGCAUACGACCUACGGGUGAAAGCAGGGGAUCUUCGGACCUUGCGCGAUUGAAUGAGCCGAUGUCGGAUUGGCUAGUUGGCGGGGUAAAGGCCCACCAAGGCGACGAUCCGUAGCUGGUCUGAGAGGAUGAUCAGCCGCACUGGAACUGAGACACGGUCCAGACUCCUACGGGAGGCAGCAGUGGGGAAUAUUGGACAAUGGGCGCAAGCCUGAUCCAGCCAUACCGCGUGGGUGAAGAAGGCCUUCGGGUUGUAAAGCCCUUUUGUUGGGAAAGAAAAGCAGCAGGUUAAUACCCCGCUGCUCUGACGGUACCCAAAGAAUAAGCACCGGCUAACUUCGUG
rnacentral:rRNA from 1 species